AAGACCUUGCGCUCUUGGAGCGGCCGAUGUCUGAUUAGCUAGUUGGUGAGGUAAAGGCUUACCAAGGCGACGAUCAGUAGCUGGUCUGAGAGGACGACCAGCCACACUGGGACUGAGACACGGCCCAGACUCCUACGGGAGGCAGCAGUGGGGAAUUUUGGACAAUGGGGGAAACCCUGAUCCAGCCAUGCCGCGUGAGUGAAGAAGGCCUUCGGGUUGUAAAGCUCUUUCAGCCGGAACGAAACGGUCACGGCUAAUACCUGUGAUCACUGACGGUACCGGAAGAAGAAGCACCGGCUAACUACGUGCCAGCAGCCGCGGUAAUACGUAGGGUGCAAGCGUUAAUCGGAAUUACUGGGCGUAAAGCGUGCGCAGGCGGUUUUGUAAGUCAGAUGUGAAAUCCCCGGGCUUAACCUGGGAACU
rnacentral:rRNA from 1 species